rnacentral:rRNA from 1 species
UACGAAGGGGGCUAGCGUUGCUCGGAAUCACUGGGCGUAAAGCGCACGUAGGCGGCUACUCAAGUCGGGGGUGAAAGCCCGGGGCUCAACCCCGGAACUGCCCUCGAAACUAGGUAGCUAGAAUCUUGGAGAGGUCAGUGGAAUUCCGAGUGUAGAGGUGAAAUUCGUAGAUAUUCGGAAGAACACCAGUGGCGAAGGCGACUGACUGGACAAGUAUUGACGCUGAGGUGCGAAAGCGUGGGGAGCAAACAGG